UAGGGAAGUCGGGGUUCGGACCCCCUCCCCGAACCCAGGGUAACUCUUAGAGUGGAGGGGAC
rfam:Myotis lucifugus cont2.21019, whole genome shotgun sequence.